ACUUCAGAAUUAAAGGUAAUCAUAUUUGCGAAAGACCAGUCCUAGCAAAUAAUAUUCGCCUUAUUCUCAUCAUCAGUGGCCCAAAGGGAUUGGUUCAUGAACUUGUCGAGGGAGCACCUCAGUUUGAAAACUUAGUAUUCACUCAGAUUUUUAAUCUGUCAAAACUAGAUGAUCAGAACAUCUUCAUAAAUGCGUCAACCUCUGUAAAUCCAUGAAACAAUUUUCACCAGUCCCACCCAUGCUAUUCACGGUAGGCUAUGAUUUAUGAAGGUUUUUUUUUUUUAAUCCAAGUUUGCAGGAAAAUUAAAAAAACAAUCCCAUAAUUUACUACCCCCCCCCCCCCUAUCUCCAUAAAAAAGGGAUCCGAAAGAUAAGAAAGAAUCGAGUACGGUACUCCUAUACCCCAGCUGUACUACCCUUCAUGGACAGCAUGCACAGCACUAGCAAUGCUCGAUAGAUUUGUACGUCGAAACGCGCUCGAGAAAGCUGGCGUGUUUUUUGCAGAAUCUUUUUGCAUUGUUGUAUGUAAUUGUUGAUGCAUGACCAUGACGUCACGUCAGGUUCACUGAAGCUGAACUUGUGAUGCGAUCGAUAGAAAGAAAGAGAGGACUGCACAAAUCAAAAUACUACCAAGCUUGCAAAAGCUUGUACAAUGGGAGGAGAAGAAGAAAGAUCCAGUAGUGAUCUGACAGUUGGAUUGUUGCUUGCCAUCAGCUCAACGGUAUUUAUUGGAUCAAGUGGGAUAGUCAAGAAGAAGGCUCUCAUUAAGAUUCAUGCAUAUGCAACAAGAGCAGGUGAUGGUGGCCAUGCAUAUCUCAAGGAAUGGCUCUGGUGGGCAGGUUUUGCACUUUUGGCUACCGGGGAGUUCCUCAACUUUAUUGCCUAUGCCUUUGCCCCAGCUCUCCUCGUCACCCCGCUUGGUGCUCUUAGUGUUUUAGUUACGGCUGUAUUAUCCCAUAACUUCUUGAAAGAAAAUCUUAACUUACUUGGUAAAGUCGGCUGUAUGCAGUGUAUAUUUGGGUCAACCAUCAUGGUGUUACACGCACCGGCUGAAAAGGGGGCCAACACAUUGGCUGAACUGUCCAUACUUUUACAAGAGUCAGUAUUUGUAACGUACAUCGUAGGACUAUUAAUAGUGGUGAUCGUCCUCAUCUACGUAGUCUCGCCAACGUAUGGCCAUAAAAACAUCUUGGUCUACCUCUCUAUUUGCUCCUUGGUGGGCUCCCUCUCUGUCCUCGCUUGUAAAGGUUUCGGCAUCGCCGUCAAGGAAUACUCCAAAGGCACAAACACUUUCCUCUUCCCCAUCACGUGGUUCCUGCUGACGAGCCUUGUGAUCUGUAUAUUAAUGAGCAUGCACUAUUUGAACAAAGCUCUGGACACCUUCAACGCCGCGGUCAUCGCUCCGAUCCACUAUGUGUUCUUCACGACGUGCGUGGUGACCGCCUCGGGGAUACUCUUCAAGGAGUGGGCCAGCAUGAGCAUGCAGGACUCGUUAUCCACGCUCGCCGGCUUUGGGGUCAUCUUCAUGGGCAUCUAUCUCCUCCAUACCUUUAAGGAUGCGAAUAUAUCUAUGGACGCUGUGACUCUGAUGUCGCCCAAGACCAAGGCCGAAGAUAUGUCGCUGUUGAAUAGUCACAGUGAGGUUGUCUCUAUGGAUAGUGAUACAGAGUCAACAGGCAAGUGAAAUCCAUGUUUAGAGCUUUCCUAAAGCUUGGUUUAGAUAUUAAGAUAACAUGUAGUUUUUGGGUGGUAAUUUGAAUAAUGGAUAAAACAGUUGCAAAGUGACUGUGGAAGGUUGUUUAUUUAUAAUUCCCCCAAAACUUAUGUUUGAGGUAACUCAUUGGAAUAACCAAUAUGAUAACAAAUUGAGCCAAUACUUCCCAGAGAUGCCAAGUUCAAUGACAAGCGAUGAAUGGGAUUUUAGGCAGGGAACCAUGACUUGGUGGGAGAUCACCAGGGACACACUGCGAUGCUGGUGUGAGCAAGAGAUUUUAGGGGAUAAGCAAGUGUCCCUAAUGUAGGAAUCUCAUGCCUAGGGUACCUGGUACUUGGUCAUGUGCACUGCACUCAGAUGAGCAUUAUAUGGGACUACGUGAAAAUUUUCUGCUAGGCAGUCUCUGAUUUUGUUUGUAAUGUUCUGAAUGUGAAGGCAUUUGAAGAGCAAUUCUUGGCAUUAGACCUUUCUUAAUGGUAUUCUUCUGGUUUGUUUCCAAUUUGUCUAAUGCCAAUUCGUCCAAUUACCAACUCGUCUUACUAUAAUUUGGUCUACCAUCAGUUCGUCCACUAUCCACACGGUCUAAUUGCCAAUUUGACCACUCACCAUUUCAUCUAAUAACCAGUUAGUCCAAUAGCCAUUUAGUCCAUAAACCAUUUGGUCUAAUUCGAUAAGUGGGCGAAAUGAAAGAAAAGAAAAUGGGUAUUAGAACAACUGGUUAUUAGACGAAAUGGUCAUAGACGAACUGGUGAUUAGACAAAGUGAUGAUUGACCAAAUGGUCAUUGGACCAAAUGGUUGUUAGACGAAAUGUUGAUGGACGGAAUGACAUGAUACUAAAUGAAAGGAUUGUUUCCUUCUUUUACAUUGCAGCUUUUAUCCCUUUAUUUAUUUGGUCAGGUUGAUUCUAACUAAGAAUGAAAAAAUAUAUAUAUUGUGUGUAAUGGUGCUUGUAUUUGAUACCAAAGGUAGAGUUGAUUCUAAUUUAACCUUGUAUAUUAUGUAAUACCAAGUUCACACUGUCAUGAUUUGUGUUACGAUCAAAACCAUGGUCUUGAUCGUAAAAUAGACAUACAUAUUGUGAUCUUGUCAGAUCAAUUGUGGCAAUCGUAUUGACUGUAGAAAAAAAAAAUUGUGAUGAGCUACAAAAAGCCAAUCGUGACAUUUGUACAGAGUUCUAAAAACAAUUCUGUAUAUUUUUGCCUUCAGAAACAGGCUCUUUUAAAGUUUAAACAGCAUGUUUGUUCUUAAUCACUGCUCUGUAUGACACACAUAGAAAAAAAUAAUCCAAUGCCCUGAAAGGACUUGAAAAAUGAAUAAUUGUAAGCUGCCAUCAGUGAUUGUUAGAGAUCAACUUUCUCUACUACAACUUUACAUGUAAAGUAUUCAAAUUCAUAUUUACUUAAUUAUUUUUUGAAAAUAAGAUUACUAUUAUUAUCGCAAUAAACUCUUUAUUGAAAUACUAGAACAUAGAUUGCAGUGUUUGAGUAACUUAAUAGAAGCAUAAAUAUUUCAUAAAUUAUUUUUUAUAUACUUGUAUAGAGAGGUGAAACAAUUGUACCGAUUUUAAACUCAAAUCGUGUAGAAUUAGUACCCUUUUAUGGUGUAUUUCUUCAACCUUUUUCACUGGUUACAAUAAAGUUAGUAAGAGCAUAUUUUGGCUAAUAUCCUGAUUUUCAUCUUAUAAAGUUAUUUCUGAUGGUGUUUUUUUUUUCUUGCAUAUGAACUUGAGGAGAAAUGUCCCCAAGCCAAGGUUUAUUUGAAAUACCCAUGUUAAUAUAAUCUCUGUUUACUCUUUUUACAAAAAAAGAAUUAUAUCCCCCCAAACACAAAAAUUAAGACAAGAAACAUUCUGUGAUCAUGAUGGUUUUAUUUAUUUUAUUCUGAUAGUAUUGUAUGAGGGGAUAUAUUUGCGUUAUUUUGAAUUUGAUUAAUAUUUGAUCAAGGCUUUAGGGAAUCGUUCUUCCACAAGUAAGUUAGGAAAUAUGCAAUUUAUGAAAAAAAUUAAGAAAGACAUCUAGACCUGUAUUAUGGUUUUUAAAACACAUAAAUGAUAUAGAAUAAUCAACAAAAAGUAUGUAAAUACUAAAGACAUGAUUUAUAGGGUACUUGUAUUUUUCCCUUUAUUGUCUUUUUAAGUGGUUCCGAUCUGGAUUUAUUUUAAAUCCUUGGAAUUUAGAGUGUAUACAUGUAAGCUAUGUAAUAUUAUAAAGCAAUGCAAAUUUCUCAAAUUGUUGUUGUCACCGCUUUCCAGACUCAUCAGUUAAUAUCAUCAUUAUGGUUUUGUGUUAUGCAAUCCUAACAUCCUACUUGAUUAUUAGUAUAAGCUUCUCAAAUUGUCAAUGACAUGAUAUACUGAUCACGAUUUUUGCCAUACAUUUGAAUGUUUACAUUUUAAUACAUUUUUUGUAUGUUGGAUGUUAACUUCAUUUGUUACUUUUCUUCUACAUUGUAUUUAAUUUAGAUUUGCAAUUGUCAACAGUUAAAAUUUUUUUUUUUAUAUUGAUGAUUACAAAUUAUGCUGCCAACAGAUUGAAAUUUCAAUUUCCUUUGGGCUUUACAACAUGCAAUUCAUGAUCUGUAUGUUACUCUUGCACAAUUGCGAGUCGGAAUUUACCCUGUCAACAAUGUUUGGGUUUUUUUUAAUCAGAGUAACAAAGAACAAACAUACCUGGUUUGUUUCCUGAUAUCAACUAUUGCAUGAUAAGAGUUUUCAAGAAUGCCAUUUGUUUAUCAUGCUGGCACAUCAACUGUCUGCAUUUUUAGUUCUUGUCAAACAUUUUCAUGUAAUUCCUCAUUCACUAAAUAGAUUACCACCAUUAAAAAAGAUAUGAGCCCUCUUGUGGUGAAAUAUUUCACAACUUUGCCAUCAGGAUUGAACUUUAUUGCAAAGAAGUCUUUUUUUAUUCAAAUCAUUGAAAAUGUAUGACUUGUUAAAUCAUCACUGACGUUAUGGCAUGCAUUUCAUUUUAGAAGACAUUACAUGUACAUAAAAGAAAAGUCAUGCAAAUCAUUGAAAGAUUAAAAGUGAUUUACUUGUUUGAAAUGAAGUAAACAUGUUAUGUAGAUUGACAUUUGCAGAGGCAUGAAUUUCCAUGUCAAAAUCAAUUUAUUGAAAGUAUAUAAGGUCAAGUAUAAUGUAGUACUCUCUUUAAAGUUAGCCUUAAAGUAUUGUGUCAUUUCAUUAUGAAUUUCUUGUUGAUAUUUGUGUAAAUGAUUGGUAAAUAUAUAUAUAUACAUGUAUAUUGAUGUAAUAUUAAUGUCAAAAUGAUGAUUUUGUUAUACCUGUGCAAGUAAAUUUAUCUUCCAUCGAAUGGCAUUGUAAUAGAUAUAUUAGUGAUUUUAUUCUAUUAUGAGGCUGAACUUGAAUUUAUUGAACUUUAUAUACCACUUUAUAUUGUUCUAUGCAAGGAUAUGAUUUUAUAAUCAUUGAUAUGUAUUAGUGUAAAUGAAUGUUACAGAUAUGGAUACUGUAACAUGCAAAGUGUAAUUAAUUGUUCAAUUAAAGGUAACUUACCAUGACAAACUAUGUAUAAAAUGUUGGGAUUGAUUGUGAAAAUUAAUCGUAUUUCUUUGUGUUACUCUCCCUGGUAUGACCGAUCUUCUUCAGAAUGGGAUUGUCUGUUUAAAGAGAUUGUGACCAUGUUUAACUAUUGUCUAAGUGUGUACUUAUGUAUGUAUGAAUUUAUGAAUGUAUAUUAAUGUGAUGCCAAUAUACAGUGCGUCCCACAAAAAACGAAACCCAGAUUUAUUGAUGAUUUAUCAUAUUUUAAUCACAAAUAAAAUAGACAAAUGACCUAUCA